rnacentral:misc_RNA from 1 species
GAUGAAGAACGCAGCGAAAUGCGAUACGUAGUGUGAAUUGCAGAAUUCAGUGAAUCAUCGAAUCUUUGAACGCACAUUGCACCUCUCGGUAUUCCGGGAGGUAUGCCUGUUCGAGCGUCAUUUGUACCCUCAAGCUCUGCUUGGUGUUGGGUGUUUGUUCCGCCUCUGUGUGUGAACUCGCCUCAAAACAAUUGGCAGCCGGCGUACUUGUUUCGGAGCGCAGCACAGUUUGCGAUCCAGAUCAACGUACAGCGGCAUCCAAGAAGCCUUAUUUAACGCUCUUGACCUCGGAUCAGGUAGGGAUACCCGCUGAACUUAAGCAUAUCAAUAAGCGGAGGA